GAUGAACGCUGGCGGCGUGCCUAAUACAUGCAAGUCGAGCGAACGGACGAGAAGCUUGCUUCUCUGAUGUUAGCGGCGGACGGGUGAGUAACACGUGGAUAACCUACCUAUAAGACUGGGAUAACUUCGGGAAACCGGAGCUAAUACCGGAUAAUAUUUUGAACCGCGUGGUUCAAAAGUGAAAGACGGUCUUGCUGUCACUUAUAGAUGGUACCGCGCUGCAUUAGCUAGUUGGUAAGGUAACGGCUUACCAAGGCAACGAUGCAUAGCCGACCUGAGAGGGUGAUCGGCCACACUGGAACUGAGACACGGUCCAGACUCCUACGGGAGGCAGCAGUAGGGAAUCUUCCGCAAUGGGCGAAAGCCUGACGGAGCAACGCCGCGUGAGUGAUGAAGGUCUUCGGAUCGUAAAACUCUGUUAUUAGGGAAGAACAUAUGUGUAAGUAACUGUGCACAUCUUGACGGUACCUAAUCAGAAAGCCACGGCUAACUACGUG
rnacentral:rRNA from 1 species